GCUCAGGAUGAACGCUAGCUACAGGCUUAACACAUGCAAGUCGAGGGGUAGCAGGGUAGCAAUACCGCUGACGACCGGCGCACGGGUGAGUAACACGUAUCCAACCUUCCCAUAACUCAGGGAUAGCCUUUCGAAAGAAAGAUUAAUACCUGAUAGUACUUAAGAAAGGCAUCUUUUUUAAGUUAAAGAUUUAUUGGUUAUGGAUGGGGAUGCGUUCCAUUAGAUAGUUGGUGAGGUAGCGGCUCACCAAGUCUUCGAUGGAUAGGGGUUCUGAGAGGAAGGUCCCCCACAUUGGUACUGAGACACGGACCAAACUCCUACGGGAGGCAGCAGUGAGGAAUAUUGGUCAAUGGGCGAGAGCCUGAACCAGCCAAGUA
rnacentral:rRNA from 1 species